rnacentral:rRNA from 1 species
AAUAGCUCGUACUCCCCGAAAUGCAUUUAGGUGCAGCGUUGAUUUAUAGUUUUAUAGAGGUAGAGCUACUGAUUGGAUGCGGGGGCUUCACCGCCUACCAAUUCCUGACAAACUCCGAAUGCUAUAAAAUGAUAAUCAGCAGUGAGGGCAUGGGUGCUAAGGUCCAUGUCCGAAAGGGAAAGAACCCAGACCAUCAGCUAAGGUCCCCAAAUGUAUGUUAAGUUGAAAAAACGCGGUUGAACUGCUUAGACAGCUAGGAUGUUGGCUUGGAAGCAGCCAUUCAUUUAAAGAGUGCGUAACAGCUCACUAGUCGAGCGGUUCAGCAUGGAUAAUAAUCGGGCAUAAACAUACUACCGAAGCUAUGGGAUCCUGCAAGAGCAGUGAUCGGUAGGGGAGCAUUCUAAUUGGUAAAA